AUCGAACGCUGGCGGCAGGCCUAACACAUGCAAGUCGAACGAGUGGCGGACGGGUGAGUAAUGUCUGGGAAACUGCCCGAUGGAGGGGGAUAACUACUGGAAACGGUAGCUAAUACCGCAUACCAUCGGAUGUGCCCAGAUGGGAUUAGCUAGUAGGUGGGGUAACGGCUCACCUGGGCGACGAUCCCUACCUGGUCUGAGAGGAUGACCAGCGACACGGGAGCGGGAACGCGGUCCAGAGGCCUACGAGAGGCAGCAGUGGGGAAUAUGGCACAAUGGGCGGGAGCCUGAUGCAGCCGUGCCGCGUGUAUGAAGAAGGCCUUCGGGUUGUAAAGUACUUUCAGCGGGGGGGCGUUACUCGCAGAAGAAGCACCGGCUAACUCCGUGCCAGCAGCCGCGGUAAUUC
rnacentral:rRNA from 1 species